AAUUUUGCACCUGUUUCAGGUGCCAUUGGCUGAAAAGGGAAUCCCGUGAAAAUCGGGAGCGAGCCCAUCGCUGUAAUCGGGGACAAACACCGCAUGAUGUCACUGGAAGCGUUGAAAACAAAAGCUGUUAUUUUUUGUUUCCAACGGUCCGGGAAGGCGCGGUGAAGCGGAUGAUCCGAAAGUCAGAAGACCUGCCUGGACAAUAAGGACUGU
rnacentral:ncRNA from 2 species